rnacentral:rRNA from 1 species
AACGAACGCUGGCGGCAGGCUUAACACAUGCAAGUCGAACGCCCCGCAAGGGGAGUGGCAGACGGGUGAGUAACGCGUGGGAAUCUACCUAGUUCUGCGGAACAACAGUUGGAAACGACUGCUAAUACCGCAUACGCCCUACGGGGGAAAGAUUUAUCGGAAUUAGAUGAGCCCGCGUAAGAUUAGCUAGUUGGUGGGGU